rnacentral:tRNA from 1 species
GGAGGGAUUCCCGAGAGGCCAAAGGGGGCAGACUGUAAAUCUGUUGUCAGAGACUUCGAUGGUUCGAAUCCAUCUCCCUCCACCA